AGUCAGAGCAUUUCCAUAGAGAGCCACUUUGCAUCAGCAGCACCAUGCUCCAGUGCUCUGGGAGAGUUUAUAGUCCUGAGAGUUGAAGACUGGAUGACUGACAGCUGUCCUUCAUGACAACAGAAGCCACAGAAAUCCUCCUCAUCAAAAACAUGACUUUGAUCUCCGUCCUCAUCUGGACUCUCCUCUGCUGCUGCUUCACAGAGUCCAGAGGCCAGGUCACAGUGACUCAGUCUGGAGCAGUGAGAUCUGCUCUGGGAGGCUCCGUCACCAUCACAUGUAGAACCAGUCAGGAUGUUUAUGUUUAUAACAACAACCACCUUUUAGCCUGGUACAAACAGAAAGAUGGAGAAACUCCUAAACUGCUCAUUUACCGUGCUUCCACUCGAGCAUCAGGGAGUCCAGGUCGUUUUACAGGCAGUGGAUCAAACUCUGACUUCACUCUGACCAUCAGUGGAGUCCAGGCUGAAGAUGCAGCAGUUUACUACUGUCAGAGUCUUCACUAUAUCAACAGUAAAGAUGUGUUCACACAGUGAAAAAGCGUCGUACAAAAACCUCCUCAAAAACUGAAGUGACUGCUGCAGCUGGAAGCUACUGCAGAGACUGAUACAGUUCACUAGACAUGGAUGUCCUCCUUCACUACUCUUGUUGAUGCUUUCAUGAAGAAUCACACAAAAAUCAAAGGCAUCUUUGUGCAGUCAUACCACCAUAAAAUCUAUACUGUUGACAUUC